rnacentral:rRNA from 1 species
GAUGAACGCUGGCGGCGUGCCUAAUACAUGCAAGUCGAGCGAACAGACGAGGAGCUUGCUCCUCUGACGUUAGCGGCGGACGGGUGAGUAACACGUGGAUAACCCACCUAUAAGACUGGGAUAACUUCGGGAAACCGGAGCUAAUACCGGAUAAUAUAUUGAACCGCAUGGUUCAAUAGUGAAAGACGGUUUUGCUGUCACUUAUAGAUGGAUCCGCGCCGCAUUAGCUAGUUGGUAAGGUAACGGCUUACCAAGGCAACGAUGCGUAGCCGACCUGAGAGGGUGAUCGGCCACACUGGAACUGAGACACGGUCCAGACUCCUACGGGAGGCAGCAGUAGGGAAUCUUCCGCAAUGGGCGAAAGCCUGACGGAGCAACGCCGCGUGAGUGAUGAAGGUCUUCGGAUCGUAAAACUCUGUUAUUAGGGAAGAACAAAUGUGUAAGUAACUAUGCACGUCUCGACGGUACCUAAUCAGAAAGCCACGGCUAACUACGUG